CGAAGGACCAGUAAACAGCGGGGGUAACUAUGACCCUCUUAAGGUAGCGUAAUACCUUGUCGCUUAAUUGGCGACUUGCAUGAAUGGUCCAACGAGGGCUCCACUGUCCCCGCGAUAUGUCCGGCGAAAUUGACUUUACUGGCGCACAGUCCAGUACAUUCUACCCGCAAGCGAAGACCCCAUAGAGCUUUACUGCAGCCUGUCGUUGCAUAGUCGCUUUCCAUGUACUGUGUAGGUGGGAGACGUUGAUCCCAGGGACGCCAGUCCCUGGGGGAGUUGAAAGAAGAGACACCACCCUUGGAAGGUAACUAUGCUAACUGUUGAUCAGGACACCGAUUGGUGGGCAGUUUGGGUGGGGCGCCACGCGCUCGAAAACCUAACAAGCGUGCCCAAUGGUCAGCUUAGGUGGUUCAGCACUCCACCGACAACUGUAAGGGGAAAAGCUGGCUUGACGUGGAUCCGCACAAUAAGGAUCGACGAUGCGAAAGCAGGGCCUAACGAACCUACCAGCCUUAUUUCUGAGGGCGGUAGAUAACAGAAAAGUUACCUUGGGGAUAAUUGAGUUGUCACCAGCAAGAGCUCACAUCGACCUGGUGGCUUGCUACUUCGAUGUCGUCUCUUCCUAUCCUGGGUCUGCAGCAGGACCCAAGGGUGGGGUUGUUCGCCCAUUAAAAGGGAUCGUGAGAUGGGUUUAGACCGUCGUGAGACAGGUUUGUUGCUUGGUGGUAGAAUCGCUCGGUGUUUGAUGGAAGGGGUCCUUUAGUACGAGAGGAACGAGGACUCGGGGCCACUAGUUUACCAGUUGUCUGACAAGGCAAAGCUGGGUAGCCACGCCCUGAGGGAUAAGAGCUGAAAGCAUCUAAGCUCGAAGCCCGCCCAAAGACGAGACACCAUAGAACACUCGUAGAAGACGAGUUUGAUAGACUGCGGAUGUAAGU
rnacentral:rRNA from 2 species